rnacentral:rRNA from 1 species
AUGAACGCUGGCGGCGUGCCUAAUACCUGCAAGUCGAGCGAACAGAUGAGGAGCUUGCUCCUCUGACGUUAGCGGCGGACGGGUGAGUAACACGUGGAUAACCUACCUAUAAGACUGGGAUAACUUCGGGAAACCGGAGCUAAUACCGGAUAAUAUAUUGAACCGCAUGGUUCAAUAGUGAAAGGCGGUUUUGCUGUCACUUAUAGAUGGAUCCGCGCCGCAUUAGCUAGUUGGUAAGGUAACGGCUUACCAAGGCAACGAUGCGUAGCCGACCUGAGAGGGUGAUCGGCCACACUGGAACUGAGACACGGUCCAGACUCCUACGGGAGGCAGCAGUAGGGAAUCUUCCGCAAUGGGCGAAAGCCUGACGGAGCAACGCCGCGUGAGUGAUGAAGGUCUUCGGAUCGUAAAACUCUGUUAUUAGGGAAGAACAAAUGUGUAAGUAACUAUGCACGUCUUGACGGUACCUAAUCAGAAAGCCACGGCUAACUACGUG